rnacentral:tRNA from 5 species
GGGUAAUUAGCUCAGCUGGGAGAGCACCUCCCUUACAAGGAGGGGGUCGGCGGUUCGAUCCCGUCAUCACCCACCA